rnacentral:rRNA from 1 species
UGAGGAAUAUUGGUCAUUGGGCGAGAGCCUGAACCAGCCAAGUAGCGUGCAGGAUGACGGCCCUAUGGGUUGUAAACUGCUUUUAUGUGGGGAUAAAGUGCGUGACGUGUCAUGCAUUGCAGGUACCACAUGAAUAAGGACCGGCUAAUUCCGUGCCAGCAGCCGCGGUAAUACGGAAGGUCCGGGCGUUAUCCGGAUUUAUUGGGUUUAAAGGGAGCGUAGGCUGUCUAUUAAGCGUGUUGUGAAAUUUACCGGCUCAACCGGUGGCUUGCAGCGCGAACUGGUCGACUUGAGUAUGCAGGAAGUAGGCGGAAUUCAUGGUGUAGCGGUGAAAUGCUUAGAUAUCAUGACGAACUCCGAUUGCGCAGGCAGCUUACUGUAGCAUAACUGACGCUGAUGCUCGAAAGUGCGGGUAUCAAACAGG